rnacentral:rRNA from 1 species
CCUACGGGUGGCAGCAGUGAGGAAUAUUUGUCAAUGGGCGCGAGCCUGAACCAGCCAAGUCGCGUGAGGGAAGACGGUCCUACGGAUUGUAAACCUCUUUUGUCGGGGAGCAAAAGACGCCACGCGUGGCGUUCCGAGAGUACCCGAAGAAAAAGCAUCGGCUAACUCCGUGCCAGCAGCCGCGGUAAUACGGAGGAUGCGAGCGUUAUCCGGAUUUAUUGGGUUUAAAGGGUACGCAGGCGGAAGAUAACGUCAGCGGUAAAAUUGAGAGGCUCAACCUCUUCGAGCCGUUGAAAAUGGUGUUCUUGAGUGAGUGAGAAGUAUGCGGAAUGCGUGGUGUAGCGGUGAAAUGCAUAGAUAUCACGAAGAACUCCGAUUGCGAAGGCAGCAUACCGGCGCUCAACUGACGCUCAUGCACGAAAGUGUGGGUAUCGAACAGGAUUAGAUACCCCUGUAGUC